AGUGAACGCUGGCGGUAGGCCUAACACAUGCAAGUCGAACGGCAGCACAGUAAGAGCUUGCUCUUACGGGUGGCGAGUGGCGGACGGGUGAGGAAUACAUCGGAAUCUACUUUUUCGUGGGGGAUAACGUAGGGAAACUUACGCUAAUACCGCAUACGACCUACGGGUGAAAGCAGGGGAUCUUCGGACCUUGCGCGAUUGAAUGAGCCGAUGUCGGAUUAGCUAGUUGGCGGGGUAAAGGCCCACCAAGGCGACGAUCCGUAGCUGGUCUGAGAGGAUGAUCAGCCACACUGGAACUGAGACACGGUCCAGACUCCUACGGGAGGCAGCAGUGGGGAAUAUUGGACAAUGGGCGAAAGCCUGAUCCAGCCAUACCGCGUGAGUGAAGAAGGCCUUCGGGUUGUAAAGCCCUUUUGUUGGGAAAGAAAAGCAGCAGGUUAAUACCCCGCUGUUCUGACGGUACCCAAAGAACAAGCACCGGCUAACUUCGUG
rnacentral:rRNA from 1 species